UGAAAUGAUGUGGUGCUUUGAAUCACUUGG
rnacentral:piRNA from 1 species